AGGGCACCACCAGGAGUGGAGCCUGCGGCUUAAUUUGACUCAACACGGGGAAACUCACCCGGCCAGGACACAAUAAGGAUUGACAGAUUGAUAGCUCUUUCUUGAUUUUGUGGGUGGUGGUGCAUGGCCGUUCUUAGUUGGUGGAGCGAUUUGUCUGGUUAAUUCCGAUAACGAACGAGACUCUAGCCUAUUAAAUAGACGAUAUAUCGUCUUCGUAUAUCGAGCUUCUUAGAGGGACGAGCAGCUUCUAGCUGCACGAGAUUGAGCAAUAACAGGUCUGUGAUGCCCUUAGAUGUCCGGGGCUGCACGCGCGCUACAAUGAAAAUAGCAGCGCGUGUCGAAAACCUUUUCUGGAAAGAAUUGGUAAACGCGAAAUAUUUUCGUGAUAGGGAUAGGGGAUUGAAAUUAUUGCCCUUGAACGAGGAAUUCCCAGUAAAUUCGAGUCAUCAGCUCGAGUUGAUUACGUCCCUGCCCUUUGUACACACCGCCCGUCGCUACUACCGAUUGGAAGAUUGAGUG
rnacentral:rRNA from 1 species